ACUGACCGGCCAGGCUCGGCGCUGGGAGGCCGCAGGGAUUCCAGGUCGGCCAUGGCCAUCCACUCGUUGAGGCAGCUCUGGUCAGAGCUCAGUCUGUCCUGGUAGUAUGCAGCCCAGACCCUCCAACCGGCUCUGAGAAGAGGAGGCCGGCCGGAGACCGGGGCCGCCCUAACCCUUACCACAUGGUCUGGAUGGAGAUGGGCUUGAAGAUUCGGCUCUGCCCACCGGACGUCACACUGAAGCCCCUGAGGGAGACCAGGUACACCUGGGUGUCACUCCAGAGAGGCAAGACCAGGCCCAGGGUGCAGCUCGGGGAGCUGGCGGGGGGACAGAAGAAAAGCCAUUGUUCCCCAGCAUCUCACUUCCUUGCCCCCCUCCCUUCCUCUCCCUGCUCGCACCUGCUGUCGGGGAAAUCCACUCCCAAGAGGACUGUCUCAUCCUGGCUCUGAUGUUCUCUUGUGGAAACUACCAGCAGGUUCCAGAUUGGUAGUUACAACCCAGUGGCUGCCAACUUUGGGAUUCCAUGGUCCCACAGAACGUUUAAGAAGAUUUUUCGUGGGGCGCCUGGGUGGGUGGCUCAGUCGGUUAAGUGUCCGACUUCGGCUCAGGUCAUGAUCUCACGGUCCGUGAGUUCGAG